UACGUAGGGGGCAAGCGUUGUCCGGAUUUAUUGGGCGUAAAGGGCGCGCAGGCGGCGCUUCAAGUCCGUUGUGAAAUUUCAGGGCUUAACCCUGACGGGUCAACGGAAACUGAAGGGCUAGAGUGCAGCAGAGGAAAGCGGAAUUCCCGGUGUAGUGGUGAAAUGCGUAGAUAUCGGGAGGAACACCAGAGGCGAAAGCGGCUUUCUGGGACGGUACUGACGCUGAGACGCGAAAGCGUGGGGAGCGAACAGG
rnacentral:rRNA from 1 species